GUUUGGCCCAGGGUAACCCGCAGCGGAACUACAACUCCCAGCACCCCAGCACAGUGGCUGCCCGGACUCCCGGAAGUCGGAGGCCAGCCGGGAGGAAGCAGCUGAGACCCCUCCAACAGGCGGGGGUUAAUUUAUCAAGAAAAAGGGGGCGGGAAGGGCUGUAGGGCAUCUGUCAGUUCGCCACCAUGAACGUGGUUUUUGCUGUGAAGCAGUACAUUUCUAAAAUGAUAGAGGACAGCGGGCCCGGCAUGAAAGUACUUCUCAUGGAUAAAGAGACGACUGGCAUAGUGAGUAUGGUAUACACACAAUCGGAGAUUCUUCAGAAGGAAGUGUACCUCUUUGAACGCAUUGAUUCUCAAAAUCGAGAGACCAUGAAACACCUGAAGGCAAUUUGUUUUCUUCGCCCUACGAAGGAGAAUGUGGAUUAUCUGAUCCAGGAGCUCCGAAGACCCAAAUACAGUAUAUAUUUUAUUUAUUUCAGUAAUGUGAUCAGCAAGAGUGACGUGAAGUCAUUGGCUGAAGCUGAUGAGCAGGAAGUUGUGGCUGAGGUUCAGGAAUUUUAUGGUGAUUACAUUGCUGUGAAUCCACAUUUGUUUUCACUCAAUAUUUUGGGUUGCUGCCAGGGUCGAAAUUGGGAUCCAGCCCAGCUAUCUAGAACAACUCAAGGACUCACAGCUCUCCUUUUAUCUCUGAAGAAGUGUCCCAUGAUUCGUUAUCAGCUUUCAUCAGAGUCAGCAAAGAGACUUGCAGAAUGUGUUAAGCAAGUGAUAACUAAAGAAUAUGAACUGUUUGAAUUCCGGCGUACAGAGGUUCCUCCAUUGCUACUUAUUUUAGAUCGCUGCGAUGAUGCCAUCACCCCAUUGCUAAACCAGUGGACAUACCAGGCCAUGGUCCAUGAACUACUGGGCAUAAACAACAAUCGGAUCGAUCUUUCCAGAGUGCCAGGGAUCAGUAAAGACUUAAGAGAGGUGGUCCUAUCUGCUGAAAAUGAUGAAUUCUAUGCUAAUAAUAUGUAUCUGAACUUUGCUGAGAUUGGUAGCAAUAUAAAGAAUCUCAUGGAAGACUUUCAGAAGAGGAAACCAAAAGAACAGCAAAAGCUAGAAUCAAUAGCAGACAUGAAGGCCUUUGUUGAGAAUUAUCCACAGUUUAAGAAGAUGUCUGGGACUGUAUCAAAGCACGUAACAGUGGUUGGAGAACUGUCUCGAUUGGUCAGUGAACGGAAUCUGCUGGAGGUUUCAGAGGUUGAGCAAGAACUGGCCUGUCAAAAUGACCAUUCUAGUGCUCUCCAGAAUGUAAAAAGGCUCCUGCAGAACCCAAAAGUGACAGAGUUUGAUGCUGCCCGCCUGGUGAUGCUUUAUGCUUUACAUUAUGAACGACACAGCAGCAAUAGCCUGCCAGGACUAAUGAUGGACCUCAGGAAUAAAGGUGUUUCUGAGAAGUAUCGAAAGCUCGUGUCUGCAGUUGUUGAGUAUGGUGGUAAACGAGUCAGAGGAAGUGACCUCUUCAGCCCCAAAGAUGCUGUGGCCAUCACUAAACAGUUCCUUAAAGGAUUGAAGGGAGUAGAAAAUGUAUACACACAGCAUCAGCCUUUCCUCCAUGAGACCUUGGAUCAUCUCAUCAAAGGAAAGCUUAAAGAAAACCUAUAUCCUUAUCUAGGCCCAAGCACACUCAGAGACAGCAAGAAAAAACUGGCCAGUAACUGAAGGAGAAGACUUGAAGAAAGAAUACUUGGUAGUGUAGAACACUUCAGUGGUUCAUGGAGACUGGUAAUACUUUUCUACAGGUUUAUGAAAAACCUCUUUUCCUGCAGCCGAAAGCACCAGAUUAAUAAUGAAUUAAUAACUUAGCCUCAGGCUUAUAUCUACUUCAGUGUACUACUAGAGAAAACCACACAAAUUAUAGAUUGGUGCCACCACAAAUUCAUUGUUUCUAACCUUACUUCGGCCUUCAGAGAUACUCAAACUUUUAUGUAUCCCUAGUUCUCUCUGUCUCAUUCUCCACAUCAGUUUUGAAUGUUUUCUCCAUUCUCUCCAAGUCACAUAGCUCACCCCAGUGUUUUCUGCUUCACAGAGAAAAAAAUUGAAUCUGUCAAACAUUAACUCCCUCAAUGUCCAGCCCCAUACUUAUUAAUAUAAACUUAUUUGCAUAUACCCACCUCUACCGCCUUCCUUCAUUCUGAGGGAAGUACAUCCUUUUUCCUAUUUAGAACUAACCUCUCUGCCAGCACUCUUGUUUAUAGACUCCUAUCAUGUUUUUGGAAGUUUUUCUCUGUUGAGUAUUUGCUUCUCUCUCUCCCCACCCUCUUUGUUUCUCUCUCUCUUCCUUCCCCUCUCCCCUUCUGUGUCUUCCACCCCUCCCUGACUUCCUCCCUCCUCCAUAUAUUUUCAGCUUCUUCUUCAUUGACUUCUUUCCUACAGGCUAUAAGCAUACACAAGCUUCCCCAGUUGAACAAAUAAUAAAUUUAAAGCCUUUGAACCUGACUUCUCCAAGCUAUGUACUUCCUUUCACAGCCAAGUGUCUUAGAUUUAGAAGCCCACAGUCACUGUCUUCACUUCUCAGCUCUUCAACCCACAGACCCUGGCUCCUUACUCCACUACCACACACUAAAACUGUUUUUGCUCACACUGGUAAAUCCAUUGGACUCUUUAAAUUCUCACCUUAUUUAUGCCAUUACUGCAUUUAAUACUGUUAACCAUUCUUUUCUUCUUAAAACUCGCUUGUUCCUUGGCUUCUUUCUUCUGGUUCUCCUCCUACCUUUCUGAAAAUGUCCUUCCUAGUUGCUUUGCUGGCUGAUCUUCUUGCUUAUUCUGAAGAUAUUAGGGGCUCACCCAAAAUUCUAUCUUUUGGUUCUCCUUUCAUUUUAUAGGAUCUCCCUAGGGAAAACUCAUCUAUUCCUAUGGCUUCAGUUACCACCUAUAUUCAGGAAAAGCACCAGGACUGAAAAUCCAGAUAUCUAGUAGACAUCUCCAUUAGGAUAUUCCACAGACCUCAGGAUAUCAUUAUAUUUGUAAUUGGAGGAGCCACCUAUGAAGAGGCUCUAACGAUUUAUAACCUGAACCGUACUACUCCU